rnacentral:rRNA from 1 species
GAUUAAGUUAUUAAGGGCGCACGGUGGAUGCCUUGGCACUAGAAGCCGAUGAAGGACGUUACUAACGACGAUAUGCUUUGGGGAGCUGUAAGUAAGCUUUGAUCCAGAGAUUUCCGAAUGGGGAAACCCAGCAUGAGUUAUGUCAUGUUAUCGAUAUGUGAAUACAUAGCAUAUCAGAAGGCACACCCGGAGAACUGAAACAUCUUAGUACCCGGAGGAAGAGAAAGAAAAUUCGAUUCCCUUAGUAGCGGCGAGCGAAACGGGAAGAGCCCAAACCAACAAGCUUGCUUGUUGGGGUUGUAGGACACUCUAUACGGAGUUACAAAGGACGACAUUAGACGAAUCAUCUGGAAAGAUGAAUCAAAGAAGGUAAUAAUCCUGUAGUCGAAAAUGUUGUCUCUCUUGAGUGGAUCCUGAGUACGACGGAGCACGUGAAAUUCCGUCGGAAUCUGGGAGGACCAUCUCCUAAGGCUAAAUACUCUCUAGUGACCGAUAGUGAACCAGUACCGUGAGGGAAAGGUGAAAAGCACCCCGGAAGGGGAGUGAAAUAGAACCUGAAACCGUGUGCUUACAAGUAGUCAGAGCCCGUUAAUGGGUGAUGGCGUGCCUUUUGUAGAAUGAACCGGCGAGUUACGAUUUGAUGCAAGGUUAAGCAGUAAAUGUGGAGCCGUAGCGAAAGCGAGUCUGAAUAGGGCGUUUAGUAUUUGGUCGUAGACCCGAAACCAGGUGAUCUACCCUUGGUCAGGUUGAAGUUCAGGUAACACUGAAUGGAGGACCGAACCGACUUACGUUGAAAAGUGAGCGGAUGAACUGAGGGUAGCGGAGAAAUUCCAAUCGAACCUGGAGAUAGCUGGUUCUCUCCGAAAUAGCUUUAGGGCUAGCCUCAAGUGAUGAUUAUUGGAGGUAGAGCACUGUUUGGACGAGGGGCCCCUCUCGGGUUACCGAAUUCAGACAAACUCCGAAUGCCAAUUAAUUUAACUUGGGAGUCAGAACAUGGGUGAUAAGGUCCAUGUUCGAAAGGGAAACAGCCCAGACCACCAGCUAAGGUCCCAAAAUAUAUGUUAAGUGGAAAAGGAUGUGGCGUUGCCCAGACAACUAGGAUGUUGGCUUAGAAGCAGCCAUCAUUUAAAGAGUGCGUAAUAGCUCACUAGUCGAGUGACACUGCGCCGAAAAUGUACCGGGGCUAAACAUAUUACCGAAGCUGUGGAUUGUCCUUUGGACAAUGGUAGGAGAGCGUUCUAAGGGCGUUGAAGCAUGAUCGUAAGGACAUGUGGAGCGCUUAGAAGUGAGAAUGCCGGUGUGAGUAGCGAAAGACGGGUGAGAAUCCCGUCCACCGAUUGACUAAGGUUUCCAGAGGAAGGCUCGUCCGCUCUGGGUUAGUCGGGUCCUAAGCUGAGGCCGACAGGCGUAGGCGAUGGAUAACAGGUUGAUAUUCCUGUACCACCUAUAAUCGUUUUAAUCGAUGGGGGGACGCAGUAGGAUAGGCGAAGCGUGCGAUUGGAUUGCACGUCUAAGCAGUAAGGCUGAGUAUUAGGCAAAUCCGGUACUCGUUAAGGCUGAGCUGUGAUGGGGAGAAGACAUUGUGUCUUCGAGUCGUUGAUUUCACACUGCCGAGAAAAGCCUCUAGAUAGAAAAUAGGUGCCCGUACCGCAAACCGACACAGGUAGUCAAGAUGAGAAUUCUAAGGUGAGCGAGCGAACUCUCGUUAAGGAACUCGGCAAAAUGACCCCGUAACUUCGGGAGAAGGGGUGCUCUUUAGGGUUAACGCCCAGAAGAGCCGCAGUGAAUAGGCCCAAGCGACUGUUUAUCAAAAACACAGGUCUCUGCUAAACCGUAAGGUGAUGUAUAGGGGCUGACGCCUGCCCGGUGCUGGAAGGUUAAGAGGAGUGGUUAGCUUCUGCGAAGCUACGAAUCGAAGCCCCAGUAAACGGCGGCCGUAACUAUAACGGUCCUAAGGUAGCGAAAUUCCUUGUCGGGUAAGUUCCGACCCGCACGAAAGGCGUAACGAUUUGGGCACUGUCUCAACGAGAGACUCGGUGAAAUCAUAGUACCUGUGAAGAUGCAGGUUACCCGCGACAGGACGGAAAGACCUCGUGGAGCUUUACUGUAGCCUGAUAUUGAAAUUCGGCACAGCUUGUACAGGAUAGGUAGGAGCCUUUGAAACGUGAGCGCUAGCUUACGUGGAGGCGCUGGUGGGAUACUACCCUAGCUGUGUUGGCUUUCUAACCCGCACCACUUAUCGUGGUGGGAGACAGUGUCAGGCGGGCAGUUUGACUGGGGCGGUCGCCUCCUAAAAGGUAACGGAGGCGCUCAAAGGUUCCCUCAGAAUGGUUGGAAAUCAUUCAUAGAGUGUAAAGGCAUAAGGGAGCUUGACUGCGAGACCUACAAGUCGAGCAGGGUCGAAAGACGGACUUAGUGAUCCGGUGGUUCCGCAUGGAAGGGCCAUCGCUCAACGGAUAAAAGCUACCCCGGGGAUAACAGGCUUAUCUCCCCCAAGAGUUCACAUCGACGGGGAGGUUUGGCACCUCGAUGUCGGCUCAUCGCAUCCUGGGGCUGUAGUCGGUCCCAAGGGUUGGGCUGUUCGCCCAUUAAAGCGGUACGCGAGCUGGGUUCAGAACGUCGUGAGACAGUUCGGUCCCUAUCCGUCGUGGGCGUAGGAAAUUUGAGAGGAGCUGUCCUUAGUACGAGAGGACCGGGAUGGACAUACCUCUGGUGUACCAGUUGUCGUGCCAACGGCAUAGCUGGGUAGCUAUGUGUGGACGGGAUAAGUGCUGAAAGCAUCUAAGCAUGAAGCCCCCCUCAAGAUGAGAUUUCCCAACUUCGGUUAUAAGAUCCCUCAAAGAUGAUGAGGUUAAUAGGUUCGAGGUGGAAGCAUGGUGACAUGUGGAGCUGACGAAUACUAAUCGAUCGAAGACUUAAUCAA